ensembl:lncRNA
CGAGAGAGAGGUGGGGCAGACAGCCGGCAGCAGGAAUCGCAGAGCCAUCUCUGGCCAGGCAAACGAACACAAAUUCUCCCUCCUGGGCCUGCUAUGACAAACCAAAGGAAAAAGCUAACUCCAUUUGCCAGCAGGGCAAAAUACUGCCACUGGAAUUAGAAGCAGUAGCUACGGCUGCGUCAGUCUCCAAGAGCUGUCCAUGUGCAAGAUGAGAUAAAGGGGGAAACAGUACCCCAGAGUUGCACUGAGACAGCAAGCUGCCAUCCAGACCACAGUGCUUUAUCUGAAUAGAACACACUGGAGAGGGUCAUCUUGCAUCAGACUCACAGGACAUAUGACCUGAUCUCUGGACAGGAAUCCCCAAGAAAUUAGUCGGUGGGAGCAUUUGGGAAAUGCCCAGAGAUGCAUGUGUAGAAUCAAUGAAGAAAUGGAGACACCCCUAGCACAAAUACCAACGUCCACAAGCAAAUGUCUAUACCCUCCUUUCAAGCAUAUCUCCAUCCUUCUCCUUCCCAUGUGGGCCUUCAGUGAACUGCUCACAUCAGCUCAGCACAUUUCUUCACUACUUGUGUUUGUAGUCGCUGUUCAUCCAUGGCAAAUAAGCUCCAGAGACACAAUCCUAAUGGAUGGGCAGACCAACAAGAGGACAUGUGACAUCUACAUGAAGAACUUCUUGCACCAUGGGAUGGUAAAGAACAGGCUAUGUUUUGAAAGCAGACCUCUGACACAGGGUCUUGCGUUUCGUCUUGCUGUCACACUGUGUUACCACACCACAUCACACUGUGUGACAUAACCGACAAACCCUGUUGUAACCUGUAUGUGUCAUGGGAAGGCAGCCUGCUGCCUGAUUCUUGUAAGAGUGCUUCAGGAAAAAGGCAAUCCUACUAAUUCCCCACAGCCAGAACUGUAGCAGGAGCAAAGCUGAACAGAGCUGCUUGCUCUCUUCCUACCUAUCUAUAAUCAGCUUCAGGCAGUCAGCACUUGUCACCCUGAACAUUUCAGAAAUUCUAGAGUACAUGGUGAUAUAAAGCCACUGAAAUGGAGUAAUGUCCCAUGAAGAAAGAGGCUGUCUGUUGAAACCUACUUUUUCACAUUCAAGUAGGAGGUGGUGUGAUAGGGCACACCACAGCAGGGUCCUGACAGCAUACGUCAGUGAGGACAAAUGAACUUUUCAGUGCUGGUCCAAGGUAUUUCAGUUUUGUAUCUAGCCCUCUCUGUGCCCUGCUGUCUUCAUGGUGGUGAUACCAGUUUGGAAGUGAUACCAAGGAACUACUCAGAAUAUGAGAACUUCAACUUUUUCUUUUGUUGCGUUCCCCAGGAAUUACCGCUCGCAACAAUUUGUGGAUGUCCCCCUCAGAUUAUUUUAACUAAGAGCUUUCCUGAUUUAUUUUGUCUCCAGGGGAUUUCUAACUUAUGUGAACUAUGACUGGUGAUAAUGAAAUAUAUUGUCAUGCCACAAAUUCAAUACAUUAAAA